rnacentral:misc_RNA from 1 species
UCCGGUUUAUCACCGGCAGUCUCCUUAAAGUCCCCGACAUGACUCGCUGGUAACUAAGGACAAGGGUUGCGCUCGUUACGGGACUUAACCCAACAUCUCACAACACGAGCUGACGACAGCCAUGCAGCAUCUGUCUCACGAUUCCCGAAGGCACUCCUCUAUCUCUAAAGGAUUUCGUGGAUUCAAAGGUAGGUAAGGUUUUUCGCGUUGCAUCGAAUUAAACCACAUGCUCCACCGCUUGUGCGGGCCCCCGUCAAUUCCUUUGAGUUUUAACCUUGCGGCCGUACUCCCCAGGCGGAGAACUUAACGCGUUAGCUGCAAUACUAAGAGGACAAGCCCCCUAACAUCUAGUUCUCAUAGUUUACGGCGUGGACUAC